rnacentral:tRNA from 1 species
GCUUUUAUGGUGUAUUAGGCAUAAGAGGUUUUCAAUUUCUAGGAAUAAAUUUUGAUAAUAAGGUUAUUAAAAGCG